GAUGAACGCUGGCGGCGUGCCUAAUACAUGCAAGUCGAGCGAACAGACGAGGAGCUUGCUCCUCUGACGUUAGCGGCGGACGGGUGAGUAACACGUGGAUAACCUACCUAUAAGACUGGGAUAACUUCGGGAAACCGGAGCUAAUACCGGAUAAUAUAUUGAACCGCAUGGUUCAAUAGUGAAAGACGGUUUUGCUGUCACUUAUAGAUGGAUCCGCGCCGCAUUAGCUAGUUGGUAAGGUAACGGCUUACCAAGGCAACCAUGCGUAGCCGACCUGAGAGGGUGAUCGGCCACACUGGAACUGAGACACGGUCCAGACUCCUACGGGAGGCAGCAGUAGGGAAUCUUCCGCAAUGGGCGAAAGCUUGACGGAGCAACGCCGCGUGAGUGAUGAAGGUCUUCGGAUCGUAAAACUCUGUUAUUAGGGAAGAACAAAUGUGUAAGUAACUAUGCACGUCUUGACGGUACCUAAUCAGAAAGCCACGGCUAACUACGUG
rnacentral:rRNA from 1 species